AAAGUACGUGAAUAGACACAAGAGGAGGUCAAGAGAAGAAGAAGAAGAAGGAGAAAAGGCGGCGGCUGCAACAAAGAUUCCUCUAAGUUUUCGUCUUGUUUGGCUCUCCUGGGGGAAAACCCGCCACUUGGUCAUGGUCGGGAGUCCUCCUCAUCGUUGUCAACCACAGAAAUGGCUUUGGCUGCACUCUCCCACAUCAGCUCAGAAGAAAAGAUAACCAGGCUCUGCCCCUCACCCUCCUCACCACUCACUAAGAUCUCAGUCUCAGUCUGCUCUAGUUAAAACUUAACCCAGUAGCAGCGGGGAUGAUUUUUCUUAAUGGUCCCUCCAAGUGAGAAAAAUGAGAAAAAAUCAUCACUCACACAAACCAUUUCAUAAUAUAUAUCAUAGCAUUUGUGAUCAGAUUAUGUAUCAUCUAUUUUGGGGGGUUUAAAUCAUGGCACAAAUUUGGCCCGUCGCUGCUACACGGUUAACCAUUAUUCUGAGUUCAUUGAAGUUGAUAUUAUUCAUAUUAUUGAUACUAUUUACUAUAUAUACUUGUGUGUAUGUGUCAGUCAUAUUAACUUUUUUGAAGGCCAAGUUUGGGGAGCCCAUUUUUAUAGUUAUUUUCCUGUGAUUGAAUUUAUUCCACAACGGAGCUUAUCACAGCACCAGGGAGUUGAGUUAUUAGCAGAUAAAUUUGGCAUGAUUAGGGACCAGGCAUACACAAAUGGAUGGACAGAAAAAAGAAAACUCAGGUGAUGUAGCUUUCUUUUAAUCUGAUUAACUUGCAACAAACCCAGACACUUUAUUCACAGUGACAAUGUCUGCAUUGUUUGUCUCUGUAAGGGACAGUCCUGAGUGGAGUAGGCUAAGGGACACCCACAGAGUUUGUGGCAUGAGCAGGUCGGUAGAUCCUGCCAUAAGGUACUUGGAUGAGAAAGGGGUCGGCAUAGAGACAUGCAUGGAGGGACCCCUGAACUUGGCAUCAUAGGGUGGGUGAGGCGACGUGCCCCCUGGCGUAUGCCCCCAUUUGAUUGAUUUGUUUACAUAUUUCGUCAUUCAGACACCGGUAAACAAUCAAAAAGAUGGACAGGAAAACAAAAAACUUGCGACUCAAUUUAUUUAUAUUUAACUUACAUUCCAGAGGGGUCAGUCGUGGCUACUCAGCAGAUGGGGACAGCCAAGACCUGCUAUAAGUUACCUCAUGCUAGGCCUGAAAGACAACAAAUCAACAGCUUAUAUAAGGUAUUUAUCAUAUUUGCAUCUAUACACAAAUGAUGUAAGUCACUGUAACAGAGUUCACUUUACAUGAAUGCAGUAAUGAAACUAAUGGACCCUGCAUUCCCUGCAUCACACUUAGUCAGUCAGUGUUCUGAUUCACCUCUGAUUCUGUAUCAUUGUCAUACAAGACUAUUUAUACUGAGCUGAAUUAAGUUGACAGUAUAAUUAUCUAAUUGUUUGAAGUGAUGCAUGUGACAGAAAACAUUAAUUUAUAAUGAUAAAGUUAUGUCAAGUAAAUUUAACUAUCUUUUUCAGUUCUGUUGGCUUUCUUCCUCCAAGAACAUGUAUCACAUACUAAAUGCAACUGCACCUAUCACCAGUGUUCCUUAUGGGAAUAUUUAAUUAACUUUUUGUGACCCAUACAAGUCACACAAGGUGUGCGGAUAUAUAUAUAUAUAUAUAUAUAUAUAU